rnacentral:rRNA from 1 species
CAAGGAAUCUUCCGCAAUGGGCGACAGCCUGACGGAGCAACGCCGCGUGCGGGAUGACGCCUUUCGGGGUGUAAACCGCUUUUCUUCAGGAAGAACGUGACGCGAGUCACCUGACGGUACUGGAGGAAGAAGGACCGGCUAACUACGUGCCAGCAGCCGCGGUAAUACGUAGGGUCCGAGCGUUGUCCGGAGUUACUGGGCGUAAAGCGCGCGCAGGCGGCGGUGUUGGCUCGGCGUGAAAGCCCCCGGCUCAACCGGGGAGGGUCGUCGAGGACCGCACCGCUUGAGGGCGGUAGGGGCUGGUGGAAUGCCUGGUGUAGUGGUGAAAUGCGUAGAGAUCAGGCGGAACACCCGUGGCGAAGGCGGCCAGCUGGGCCGUCCCUGACGCUGAGGCGCGAAGGCGUGGGGAGCGAACGG